ACACACACACACACACACACACACAGGUCAACAGCAGAUCCACAGUCACUCAAUUAGCUAACCAUUUUUAGAUUGGUAAGUUAGUCUAGCCAGUUAUCUAAACUUGUAAUAGUCAUGGCCAAAUAGGGACCGGGCACGCAAGGCACGUGCUCAGGGACCCUGACCUCCAAGGGGCCACCACUGAUUUUGUUAGUCACUCUCACUCAGGUAUAAUUAACAUGGCAAAAUGUGUAGAAUUGUAGGAAAUUUGCUUUAAAUCUGCUAAGAUUUCUCUUCACCCCAUGGCAAAAUGGGUAUAACUGCAACAAAAACUUUUCUCUAACCCAUGGCAAAAUGUGUGGAAUUGGAAAUGAACUUUAAACGUACAUUCUUAUCUCCCCAGUCAAAACGUGGGCCACUAAAAAUGUUUGCUCGCUUAUUUAGGGCCUCCAAAAUGCAAGAGUGGUUUGGUUCUGCAUGCAUCCGCCAGCUCCGCGCUAUAGCAGGGGAUCAGCCUUGCGGACAGUGGAGUGUGCAGUGCAGGAAUGGCCAGUCUCCACAGUCUCCCCUGUGAACCUCCAUUGACUCUUCUGAAUGGCCCUAAUGACCUGAGCUGCUCCCAGGCCGCCGGCCAACGCUCUAACAGGUGGCAUGGCAUGCAGGGGUGAAAGAUCAAGUCAAUGUGUGUGUCAAUAUGUUACCAAACACAAUCAAAGCAGUAAAUGGACUCUAAAACACAACCUUAUUCAUUUUUGUCAAACAGGCUAAUUUCAAGUUGUAUUUUCAAUUACAUGAAUUACCUCUGCAGAAAUUACAUUCAUAUGUGUUUAUUUUGGUUGGUUAGGUCAAGUCAACCUUAUUGAAAAUGAAUGGAUAAAACCAAACAAAUACAGAAAUCAGAAUAAGAGCUCAACCAUGCUGUACACGGAGAUGAGAUUUGGACCCCACAUGUUUUUUUACACUAUGGUGAAAGCCUAGAUUUAAUCAGAUCAGGCGGUAGCUGAAGAUACCCGACACCCGCAUAGCUGAUGUUUAGGUGGUGUCGGAGGUGGAAAUGCAUUGGAGUUGAGCAGCUGCUCUUGGGAUCAUUGUCAUGCAGCCACACCCGUCUCACUCGCGUUAGAAGUUCAGAACGAGAAAGUGUAUCCUAUAUAGAAAUAAUGACGCUCAAAUUUAAAAUCCUUAAACAAAAGAAUGAUGAUUUCGAUCAGCCUAAUGGAGGUGUAGAUUACAUCUAUCAGCCUAAUGGAAGUGUAGAUUACAUCUAUCAGCCUAAUGGAGGUGUAGAUUACAUCUAUCAGCCUAAUGGAGGUGUAGAUUACAUCUAUCAGCCUAAUGGAGGUGUAGAUUACAUCUAUCAGCCUAAUGGAGGUGUAGAUUACAUCUAUCAGCCUAAUGGAGGUGUAGAUUACAUCUAUCAGCCUAAUGGAGGUGUAGAUUACAUCUAUCAGCCUAAUGGAGGUGUAGAUUACAUCUAUCAGCCUAAUGGAGGUGUAGAUUACAUCUAUCAGCCUAAUGGAGGUGUAGAUUACAUCUAUCAGCCUAAUGGAGGUGUAGAUUACAUCUAUCAGCCUAAUGGAGGUGUAGAUUACAUCUCACAUCCCAGUGUUCCAAUUUGUAAACAAGGCUGCAUUGGAUUUCUCUUUUUGUGAAUCCGUGCAACCAAUGGCAAUACUCGCUUUAGGUAUAAUGCCAGGAGCCGUUUGUGCAUUUGACAGCUCUAACACAGUUCCCCCUCCGACACUGUCAAAACAACCGCUAUGUGGAUGUCGGCUAAAGCGGAUCUGCUUGAAUAGAUCUAUAAAUAUGGACACAUACUGUAAUAAUUCUGUGUGUUCAGCAUAUUUGCCCAGAUUAAUAACGAAACAUGAAAGAGUUGAUGUGUGUAUACUAUCCUCUGUAUGAUGACAUUCUAUUGAUCUCACUCUAAUCAGAAUUGAAAUGACAUUUCCUGAAUGUAUAGUAGAGUGUUAAAUUGCCGUCACGAGGAACAUAGGUUGAUCUUCAGGAACGGUGUGAAAGGACUGGACAUGUAGCACUCCAGGUAUGUAUUGUUCAUUGUGAUGAAAUACAGUGCUGCAAAUUAACUCUUAUUAGAAUUAAGGCAUGCAGGAAACAUACUCUGUAGCACAAUAUUGCAGGCAUCGGUCGGCUGUGUGUGUGUGUGUGUGUGUGUGUGUGUGUGUGUGUGUGUGUGUGUGUGUGUGUGUGUGUGUGUGUGUGUGUGUGUGUGUGUGGAGGAGGAGGGAAUGCACAGGGUUCUGGAUGUUCAAGUAUUGGUGUUACACACUAUAUCAAUUUAUGACAGUCUAAAUCCUAUCCAACCAAAAUGCAAUCCACAAACCGAUAUUUAAUUGAAGGACAGAUUACUCAUUGGGUAGACUUUUUUCCCCCCACUCUCUUCGAUGCAAUGUAAUGAUAGCACACAAUAGGCUUAUGGAUGAGGACAACACCACUAUUUCCGUGAUCACAAUAACAAUCUGUCAAUCAUCCUGCUGUUCCAUGUGGGACACUAAUAUCUCAUGACAAAUACACCCUCAUUGCCCAUCCUUAAAUAGCUGAAUUUCAGGGUAUUCAAAACGUUCUUGUUAUUAUCAUGACUGGAUCUUGAAAGAAAUAGAAGUGCCCUACCAUUGCCAAGGAGAAACCUUGAUCUUAUUCUUAGGCUGAAAAAAAUAUGUAUUUCCAUUCUUCACCUGGUUCCAUUGGAUAUGCACACUUUAAUAAGAUACUUUCUCAUUGGACAUUCUGAAGGUUGAGGAUUCUGCUGCUGAUUUUCAGGCUUACAGUGCAGUUCUGCCCAAAGACCACUAGGGGGAAGUCAACCCUGUUUAUUCACCUCAGUGAGCCGAUCCCUAGAAGUGAUCAAAUCUAAAUGUAUAUAAAAAAAACAUCUAUUUAAAAUGAUCAGUUGAUUGGCAUUUACUUUGAUGGUGUUUUCCGACAUGUUGUAACAAUUCAAAUACAUUUCACGAUUUGUUCCUUUUCAGUGUAGAAGUCUCAUGAAAGCCCUAUUUUUGCCCUUCUGUGCUUCAAUUAUUUUUAGAAUAUGUCCUACAGGUCAACUACCAAAUCUAACAGCUAUUGUGUUUUCACUUAAAAUCACAUUUACUGUAGUUCUGUUUUAUAAACUACUAUGAAUGAUCAUUAUAUUACUUACACACACACGGGC